CACACACACCUGUGCACAGCUAGUUGCUCUCUGGGAAAGAGGUGCUCCAGCUGUGGGACUGGCUCCCUGUGGGUGACACCUUGUCUCUGUCCUAUCUCAUCCCCCCCCCCCAAACACACACAUGCUGCAUGGUGCACCCCUGCUAGGAUCUGGAGAUACAGGGCACAGGCCAGGGGGUUUGGGCAGGACUUCCUCCCAACCUUCCUGCAGGGGAAGCAGGCAGAUACCUCCUCUGGGGUGCCCUCCCUGCUUCCUCUUGGCCCACCUGACCUUUGGAGAAGAAGCUAAUCUUUCUCUUCUGCUCCAGGGCCAGAGGGCUGGGAAAUAAUUCAAUUGGCUCGAGAGAGAUUAGCAAGAGGAAAGACAAAAUUCAAUUACACACACAUUGAGCUCCCUCCUCCCCCCCAAAUACCAGAACCUGUCAUCUGGUCAAUGCAGGGCAGUGAUUUAGUUUCUGCAAAGGAGGCCAGAAAAACAGGAGUGGGGAGAGAGCAGAAUGACUUCCAGUUUAAAGAAAAAGGGGCUUUUUCAGCAUUUCAAUCUGUGCAUCAAGAGCCAGACCUUGUCAGCCCCAACCAGGGUAGUGGAGCUGUCUCUCAUCUCCAGGUCCAUCUCAGGGGAGACUCUCCCCCAUGUCUUAUCUCCAGGUCCACCACAGGGAAGGUUCCCCCCGUGCGCGAGAGAGGGAUAGUGAGGCAAAGCCAACAGUCUGCUCCUGGCACCUGCCGUGCACUGGGCGUUGCGUGCUGCGUGCUGUGUCUCAUCCGGGCCCCUCUCUGCAGACAGCUGGCAUUUCCCCGUUUGACAGACUAGACACACUGAAGGUGCCCCAGGCCAGCUGCCUCCCUACCAACAGAUGGCGCUGAGUCAGGGGACGGCAGGCACAGGCCUGCAAAGGCCUGGACUGAGGAGCCAGACUGACUGGCCUCGCAUCCUGGCUCUGACCUGUAUUAGCCAACUGCCCCUGGAAAUGCACCCUUCCCCGUCUUUUACUUGUUUUUAAUUUUCCACAGUGAAAACUAGGGUCACGACAGCUGCCUUGUGUUUGGGGCAGUAGUUAGAAUGAGUCGACAUACGUGUAAGGAGCGGUAAAAUAGCUCACUUGGGUAGUACGCUGCUUUGCUGUGUGUGGGAUCCAGGUUCAAGCCCAGCCCCCCCGUGCAUUAGAUUCUUUGUUGGUGCUGUAGUCUCUCCCUCUCUCUCUCUCUCUCUCUCUCUCUCUCUCCUUGUCUCUGACUACUCAUCCUGGAGCAGUAAAGCUCUGGUAAUCUCUCUCUGUUUCUCUCCCCUCCCACUCUCUCUCACACACCCUAAAUGUUAGACUACGGAGCUCAGCGCCUGCCCAGAGCAGCGCACAGACCCCAGGUGAAGCCCAUCUGGCUUGAACUCACGCCCCUGAGAUCGCCUGAAGUCAGUCAGUAGAUGAAGGGCCAGUCUCAGGUCCUGACCCAGGAAGGAAUUUGAGAUGAGUAGAGGGCGGGAGAUAGUUCACCUACAGGAGUGCAUGGUCACCAUGCAUGAGGCCUGGGGUUUGACUCCCAGCACCAGGGAGGCUGCACGGAUGAUAGAGGAGU